GGUUAAGCGACUAAGCGUACACGGUGGAUGCCCUGGCAGUCAGAGGCGAUGAAGGACGUGCUAAUCUGCGAUAAGCGUCGGUAAGGUGAUAUGAACCGUUAUAACCGGCGAUUUCCGAAUGGGGAAACCCAGUGUGUUUCGACACACUAUCAUUAACUGAAUCCAUAGGUUAAUGAGGCGAACCGGGGGAACUGAAACAUCUAAGUACCCCGAGGAAAAGAAAUCAACCGAGAUUCCCCCAGUAGCGGCGAGCGAACGGGGAGCAGCCCAGAGCCUGAAUCAGUAUGUGUGUUAGUGGAAGCGUCUGGAAAGGCGCGCGAUACAGGGUGACAGCCCCGUACACAAAAAUGCACAUGCUGUGAGCUCGAUGAGUAGGGCGGGACACGUGGUAUCCUGUCUGAAUAUGGGGGGACCAUCCUCCAAGGCUAAAUACUCCUGACUGACCGAUAGUGAACCAGUACCGUGAGGGAAAGGCGAAAAGAACCCCGGCGAGGGGAGUGAAAAAGAACCUGAAACCGUGUACGUACAAGCAGUGGGAGCACGCUUAGGCGUGUGACUGCGUACCUUUUGUAUAAUGGGUCAGCGACUUAUAUUCUGUAGCAAGGUUAACCGAAUAGGGGAGCCGAAGGGAAACCGAGUCUUAACUGGGCGUUAAGUUGCAGGGUAUAGACCCGAAACCCGGUGAUCUAGCCAUGGGCAGGUUGAAGGUUGGGUAACACUAACUGGAGGACCGAACCGACUAAUGUUGAAAAAUUAGCGGAUGACUUGUGGCUGGGGGUGAAAGGCCAAUCAAACCGGGAGAUAGCUGGUUCUCCCCGAAAGCUAUUUAGGUAGCGCCUCGUGAAUUCAUCUCCGGGGGUAGAGCACUGUUUCGGCAAGGGGGUCAUCCCGACUUACCAACCCGAUGCAAACUGCGAAUACCGGAGAAUGUUAUCACGGGAGACACACGGCGGGUGCUAACGUCCGUCGUGAAGAGGGAAACAACCCAGACCGCCAGCUAAGGUCCCAAAGUCAUGGUUAAGUGGGAAACGAUGUGGGAAGGCCCAGACAGCCAGGAUGUUGGCUUAGAAGCAGCCAUCAUUUAAAGAAAGCGUAAUAGCUCACUGGUCGAGUCGGCCUGCGCGGAAGAUGUAACGGGGCUAAACCAUGCACCGAAGCUGCGGCAGCGACGCUUAUGCGUUGUUGGGUAGGGGAGCGUUCUGUAAGCCUGUGAAGGUGUACUGUGAGGUAUGCUGGAGGUAUCAGAAGUGCGAAUGCUGACAUAAGUAACGAUAAAGCGGGUGAAAAGCCCGCUCGCCGGAAGACCAAGGGUUCCUGUCCAACGUUAAUCGGGGCAGGGUGAGUCGACCCCUAAGGCGAGGCCGAAAGGCGUAGUCGAUGGGAAACAGGUUAAUAUUCCUGUACUUGGUGUUACUGCGAAGGGGGGACGGAGAAGGCUAUGUUGGCCGGGCGACGGUUGUCCCGGUUUAAGCGUGUAGGCUGGUUUUCCAGGCAAAUCCGGAAAAUCAAGGCUGAGGCGUGAUGACGAGGCACUACGGUGCUGAAGCAACAAAUGCCCUGCUUCCAGGAAAAGCCUCUAAGCAUCAGGUAACAUCAAAUCGUACCCCAAACCGACACAGGUGGUCAGGUAGAGAAUACCAAGGCGCUUGAGAGAACUCGGGUGAAGGAACUAGGCAAAAUGGUGCCGUAACUUCGGGAGAAGGCACGCUGAUAUGUAGGUGAAGCGACUUGCUCGUGGAGCUGAAAUCAGUCGAAGAUACCAGCUGGCUGCAACUGUUUAUUAAAAACACAGCACUGUGCAAACACGAAAGUGGACGUAUACGGUGUGACGCCUGCCCGGUGCCGGAAGGUUAAUUGAUGGGGUCAGCGCAAGCGAAGCUCUUGAUCGAAGCCCCGGUAAACGGCGGCCGUAACUAUAACGGUCCUAAGGUAGCGAAAUUCCUUGUCGGGUAAGUUCCGACCUGCACGAAUGGCGUAAUGAUGGCCAGGCUGUCUCCACCCGAGACUCAGUGAAAUUGAACUCGCUGUGAAGAUGCAGUGUACCCGCGGCAAGACGGAAAGACCCCGUGAACCUUUACUAUAGCUUGACACUGAACAUUGAGCCUUGAUGUGUAGGAUAGGUGGGAGGCUUUGAAGUGUGGACGCCAGUCUGCAUGGAGCCGACCUUGAAAUACCACCCUUUAAUGUUUGAUGUUCUAACGUGGACCCGUAAUCCGGGUUGCGGACAGUGUCUGGUGGGUAGUUUGACUGGGGCGGUCUCCUCCUAAAGAGUAACGGAGGAGCACGAAGGUUGGCUAAUCCUGGUCGGACAUCAGGAGGUUAGUGCAAUGGCAUAAGCCAGCUUGACUGCGAGCGUGACGGCGCGAGCAGGUGCGAAAGCAGGUCAUAGUGAUCCGGUGGUUCUGAAUGGAAGGGCCAUCGCUCAACGGAUAAAAGGUACUCCGGGGAUAACAGGCUGAUACCGCCCAAGAGUUCAUAUCGACGGCGGUGUUUGGCACCUCGAUGUCGGCUCAUCACAUCCUGGGGCUGAAGUAGGUCCCAAGGGUAUGGCUGUUCGCCAUUUAAAGUGGUACGCGAGCUGGGUUUAGAACGUCGUGAGACAGUUCGGUCCCUAUCUGCCGUGGGCGCUGGAGAACUGAGGGGGGCUGCUCCUAGUACGAGAGGACCGGAGUGGACGCAUCACUGGUGUUCGGGUUGUCAUGCCAAUGGCACUGCCCGGUAGCUAAAUGCGGAAGAGAUAAGUGCUGAAAGCAUCUAAGCACGAAACUUGCCCCGAGAUGAGUUCUCCCUGACUCCUUGAGAGUCCUGAAGGAACGUUGAAGACGACGACGUUGAUAGGCCGGGUGUGUAAGCGCAGCGAUGCGUUGAGCUAACCGGUACUAAUGAACCGUGAGGCUUAACCUUACAACGCCGAAGCUGUUUUG
rnacentral:rRNA from 1 species